CCCGGCGGCCCGCGAGCCCCAGCUCCAUGGUUAGCGUUUGGUCCCAGCGCCCGGCGGCGGCGACUCUGCAGGAGCGAGACGUGGUCCUUAAUGCCGGGAAGAACUGCGGCGACGUGCGAAGGGGAGAGCGCGGAGCUGGCGCUUCUCGUUUGGUCCCUGCAAAUAAGUUCGGUGGGAAGGAUUGCACGCCUCCUCCCCAGCCCCGGCCUGGGAGCGGCUCGGGAGGGCUCCCCUGGAGUGCCCGAGGGAGCGUUUGCACAACUGAGCCUGAAGAAGCCAACAAGAUCCGCGUUGACCUUGAAGGGACCCCAAAGUCAUCCAGGACCACCCACCUGCCACCACCAGCACUUACCAAAACUUGGGCCGAAGAAGAAGAGCUAGGAUUGGGGUCAUCGAGCUGCGCGGUGGCCAGCAAGGGCAAGCUUUGCUUCUAGAGGCUUUGAGAUCAUUCACAAAUGUGAGCCCACAUGCAUACCUGUGCACUGUCUCCCCCAUAAAAGCUGAUUCGUUUAGGGGGUUAUGGCAAAAAAGCUACAACUGCAGGAGUACCUUCUAUGGCCCAAAGUGGGGUGGUUGCAGGGCCUCUGGGUCACUGGGGCUUUGGGCCUAAGUGGACAGGUUGGAGGAGAGGGUUAGUGGGGCAGCCCGGGGCACACAUCUGAGAAGCCCCCAGAGAAUGGCCAAGUGAGUCCUCCCCGCCAAGCCCUGAGGUCCCCACCCCUGGCGCCCCAAAAACCCUGACCUCCCUGUCAGAGGCCAAGGGAAGAGUGGCCCCAAUCUGAAAGUCCUUCCUGAGAGGCACAUCUGUUUAGAUCCCUUCUGUGGCUUUCCUUUGCCCCCAGAAUGCUGUCUAAAUCCUCUAACCUGUCCCGUGGGCCAACUCUGGCACCAACCUUGCUGUGGGAGGCCCUGCAGGUGGGCUGGAAAUGCCCUCAGCUCUCCCUACCCCCACUCCCAGCCCGCAGGACCAUUGCCUGCAGGACCCCACACAGCCCCUCCUCCCUUGCAUCCUUGCUCAGGGUUGGAGACUUUUCCAGUCCAGCUGAGUGACCCCCCACCUCAGGCCUCAUCACCCCCCAGGUGUUCGGUGGAGACUGAAAGGUCCCCUACCAAUGGGUCCGUGAUUAAAGGAGCGAGAAUGAUACAAA